rnacentral:misc_RNA from 1 species
GAUGAAGAACGUAGCGAAAUGCGAUAAGUAAUGUGAAUUGCAGAAUUCAGUGAAUCAUCGAAUCUUUGAACGCACAUUGCGCCCCCUGGUAUUCCGGGGGGCAUGCCUGUUCGAGCGUCAUUUCAACCCUCAAGCUCUGCUUGGUAUUGGGCGUCGCCGGGGAGUCUCCCCGGCGUGCCUCAAAGCCAUCGGCGGUGGUGCCUUUCUCUAAGCGUGGUACAAUUUUUAUUCGCUUCUGAGUUGGGCUUCGCCUGCCGGACAAACCGGGCCCUCGCGGCCCACCUUCUCAGGUUGACCUCGGAUCAGGUAGGGAUACCCGCUGAACUUAAGCAUAUCAAUAAGCGGAGGA